rnacentral:lncRNA from 1 species
CUCAGGGCGGUGUUUAGGGUGGAGGGAAAGUAGGUGCCUAUCUCUUUAAGAGGGCCUCCGCACACGUGAUUCAUCAAAGUGCCCGCAGUCCGCCGCCCGGGAGCGGAAAGCUGCUUCCUACUCCCGCUGCCGGGCGGUCCGGCUACUGAGCAUGCCCGGCGCGGCGACGGCUGCCAAACGAGAGGACUUGAAGCUGAGGUUAAGCACUGAUUUCCCUUCCUAGGGGCCUAGCGUGAAAUGGACGGGAACUAGCCGAGAGAGAGGAGGUGUAGCCCAUUUUAGAGACGGAGACACUGAGGCCUGGGAGGAUUCACGUGUGGUAAACUACCCAAGGACAGCAGAGAAGAGGGGAUACAUGCUCCCAGACAGGGUGGGCAAGGAGCCCUAAGGAGCAGGAUUGGUCCCAGCAGAAGAAAAGUGGACAACAAGAAAAGCCUUGGGAGCAGUAAUGACCAAUAAUGGUCACUUACCUGGAGCAAUCUAAAUUGUUUCCUUUGCAAACAACAAAGCAAAGGCACAGUUUCCAGGCACUGACCAAGGAACAGAGAAGCUGUAUAUUGGAGCUGAAAGUUACACUUGACCCCUGCCCCACCGACUGGUUAGCUAAGGAGAUAAAACCUGAAAUUAUAAGAAAUUCUAGGGAACAAGCAGAAAGAAAAGUCCUGGAUGAAGCAACUUUGGCAAAAUGUUCAUAAUUUGUGUAGCUGAAUAAUGGGUAUAUGGGACUUUUUAAAACAAAAUGUGUCAUUAAUUUUGAGUUAACAGAAGAACUGUUAUGAGUUAAUAGAACUAAAGCCCAAAACAUUCAGAAUUGGUUGCCUAUUGGUAAUGGAACCGUGGGGAAAGG